UUUUUAUGUGUGAUGGAUGCUUCAUUAAGUUACAACUUUGUUAUAGAUGCUUUCAAUAUUUUGAAUAAAAAUUAGUUGUUCAUUUAACAAGGCUCCCCUUUGUGUUUUUAUGCGACAUAAUUAUUAGAAGAUUAUCUAAUUACUUUAUUUUGGUCCAUAUGUUAUGGCUUACAUGCUUUCAUAAGAGCUAGCCUUUACAAAUGUAGGAAAACCCUCCCACUUAAUCUUCUUCUUGUAUAAUGGAAAGAUGAAAACUUGUGAGAUUUUUUUUUGGGAAGCCAUUUUAGGGGGCUUGAGUAUCUUCAAAAAAGACAUUUUUGUUCACUCUCAUGAGUUGUGUGAUUGAAAAACAGAAAGUUAGGAACUCUCAAGUUGGCUUUUCCUUUGAAGUGACUAGAUAGCAUGUUUAUGGAAUAUGGAUAGGAAUUUUUUUUAACUAGGAUGGGGAAAGGAAUAAUAGCUGGAAUGUGUAAACUCUUGGGUAAAUAUAUGAUCUUAAUAUUUGAAAGUCUAAUAAAAGAGGUUCAUGUUUAUGGAAUAUGGAUAGG
rnacentral:misc_RNA from 1 species